rnacentral:rRNA from 1 species
UGGGGAAUAUUGGACAAUGGGCGCAAGCCUGAUCCAGCCAUGCCGCGUGAGUGAUGAAGGCCCUAGGGUUGUAAGCUCUUUCACCGGUGAAGAUAAUGACGGUAACCGGAGAAGAAGCCCCGGCUAACUUCGUGCCAGCAGCCGCGGUAAUACGAAGGGGGCUAGCGUUGUUCGGAUUUACUGGGCGUAAAGCGCACGUAGGCGGACUAUUAAGUCAGGGGUGAAAUCCCGGGGCUCAACCCCGGAACUGCCUUUGAUACUGGUAGUCUUGAGUUCGAGAGAGGUGAGUGGAAUUCCGAGUGUAGAAGUGAAAUUCGUAGAUAUUCGGAGGAACACCAGUGGCGAAGGCGGCUCACUGGCUCGAUACUGACGCUGAGGUGCGAAAGCGUGGGGAGCAAACAGG